ACGGUACCCAAAGAAUAAGCACCGGCUAACUUCGUGCCAGCAGCCGCGGUAAUACGAAGGGUGCAAGCGUUACUCGGAAUUACUGGGCGUAAAGCGUGCGUAGGUGGUGGUUUAAGUCUGCUGUGAAAGCCCUGGGCUCAACCUGGGAAUUGCAGUGGAUACUGGGUCACUAGAGUGUGGUAGAGGGAUGCGGAAUUUCUGGUGUAGCAGUGAAAUGCGUAGAGAUCAGAAGGAACAUCCGUGGCGAAGGCGGCAUCCUGGGCCAACACUGACACUGAGGCACGAAAGCGUGGGGAGCAAACAGGAUUAGAUACCCUGGUAGUCCACGCCCUAAACGAUGCGAACUGGAUGUUGGGUGCAACUUGGCACCCAGUAUCGAAGCUAACGCGUUAAGUUCGCCGCCUGGGGAGUACGGUCGCAAGACUGAAACUCAAAGGAAUUGACGGGGGCCCGCACAAGCGGUGGAGUAUGUGGUUUAAUUCGAUGCAACGCGAAGAACCUUACCUGGUCUUGACAUCCACGGAACUUUCCAGAGAUGGAUUGGUGCCUUC
rnacentral:rRNA from 1 species